GACGAACGCUGGCGGCGUGCCUAAUACAUGCAAGUCGAGCGAAGUUUUUCUGGUGCUUGCACUAGAAAAACUUAGCGGCGAACGGGUGAGUAACACGUAAAGAACCUGCCUCAUAGACUGGGACAACUAUUGGAAACGAUAGCUAAUACCGGAUAACAGUAUUUCUCGCAUGAGAGAUAUUUAAAAGUUGGUUAUGCUAACACUAUGAGAUGGCUUUGCGGUGCAUUAGCUAGUUGGUGGGGUAAAGGCCCACCAAGGCGACGAUGCAUAGCCGACCUGAGAGGGUGAUCGGCCACACUGGGACUGAGACACGGCCCAGACUCCUACGGGAGGCAGCAGUAGGGAAUCUUCCGCAAUGGGCGAAAGCCUGACGGAGCAACGCCGCGUGAGUGAAGAAGGAUUUCGGUUCGUAAAGCUCUGUUGUUAGGGAAGAAUGGAUAUGUAGUAACUAUAC
rnacentral:rRNA from 1 species